CAGCCGCCGCGGGAAUACGUAGGGGGCAAGCGUUGUCCGGAAUUAUUGGGCGUAAAGCGCGCGCAGGCGGUUCUUUAAGUCUGGUGUCUAAGUGCGGGGCUCAACCCCGUGACGCACUGGAAACUGGGAGACUUGAGUGCAGAAGAGGAGAGCGGAAUUCCACGUGUAGCGGUGAAAUGCGUAGAGAUGUGGAGGAACACCAGUGGCGAAGGCGGCUCUCUGGACUGUAACUGACGCUGAGGCGCGAAAGCGUGGGGAGCAAACAGGAUUAGAUACCCGAGUAGUCCCUGUCUCUUAUACA
rnacentral:rRNA from 1 species